CGCUGCGCUUAUUUGUAGGUCGGCCUGCCCAAUGAUUAUUUGAAUGGCCGCAGUAUCUUGACUGUGCAAAGGUAGCAUAAUCAUUUGUCUCCUAAUUAGAGGCUGGUAUGAAUGGCUGGACGUGGGGAAGACUGUGUCAUUAAUUAAAUUAAACUUAAUCUUUAAGUCAAAAAGCUUAAAUGAAACAGCAGGACGAGAAGACCCCGUAGAUCUUUAUAUUGAAAUCUUUUUAAAGUUUAGUCGCCACUUAUAUAAAGGUUAGGAAUAUUUUGUUGGGGUGACAUGAAGUCUUAAACACUUCAUUCUUAAACAAUUAUAGUAGGGCUGAUGAUCCGGUACGCCGAUUAAAAAAUUAAGUUACCUCGGGGAUAACAGCGUAAUCUGCCUUAAGAGUCCUUAUCAAAUGGCAGGGUUGCGACCUCGAUGUUGGAUUAAGAUACUUCCCAUGGGCAGCCCCAUAGUGAAGAGGUCUGUUCGACCUAUAAAUUCUUACAUGACAU
rnacentral:rRNA from 1 species